CAAACUUGAGAGUUUGAUCCUGGCUCAGAACGAACGCUGGCGGCAUGCCUAACACAUGCAAGUCGAACGAUCCCUUCGGGGAUAGUGGCGCACGGGUGCGUAACGCGUGGGAACCUGCCCUUAGGUUCGGAAUAACAGUUAGAAAUGACUGCUAAUACCGGAUAAUGUCUUCGGACCAAAGAUUUAUCGCCUUUGGAUGGGCCCGCGUU
rnacentral:rRNA from 1 species